rnacentral:misc_RNA from 1 species
UCCGGUUUGUCACCGGCAGUCCCUCUAGAGUCCCCGGCAUGAUCCGCUGGCAACUAGAAGCAGGGGUUGCGCUCGUUGCGGGACUUAACCCAACAUCUCACGGCACGAGCUGACGACAGCCAUGCAGCACCUGUGCUAGCUCCCCGAAGGGUCCUUCAUGUUUCCAAUCCGUACCACUAGCAUGUCAAGCCUUGGUAAGGUUCUUCGCGUUGCGUCGAAUUAAACCACAUGCUCCGCUGCUUGUGCGGGCCCCCGUCAAUUCCUUUGAGUUUCAGCCUUGCGGCCGUACUCCCCAGGCGGGGCACUUCAUGCGUUAGCGCCGGCACCCAGGGGGUCGCUCCCCCAAGCACCUAGUGCCCAUCGUUUACGGCGUGGACUAC